rnacentral:tRNA from 1 species
GCCUUCGUGGUGUAAUGGUCAGCACAGCUGAGCCGGUAUUUCAGAGGUCCGCGGUUCGAUUCCCGGCGAAGGCG